GUUUUGAUAGCUUAAUGUAAAGUAAAGUUUUGAAGAAACUCAGAUGGAUUUUCCUUAAAAUA
rnacentral:tRNA from 1 species